rnacentral:misc_RNA from 1 species
UACGAGGCAGAGCACGUCCACGACCUGGACCAUCACGUGAUCUCACCUUAACGCCAAACCUAAAGCUCCCCGAGCUAGACAUCUCGGAGAUACAGCCGGCGCAUAGCUAUAGCGGCAUGAUCCUCGAUCAGUCAGCACCUGCACAGCACCCUCAUCGUGGAGGGCCGAUUCCGAAUCGAACAGAAGGUACCGA